rnacentral:SRP_RNA from 1 species
AAGGAGAUUGCAUCGUAAGAUGUGAAGACUUGGCAGAUAAUGAUCUGGGAACGGGCUCAGUCUGGAAACAGAGCAAGCAAAGCAG